GAGUCUUGUUCUGUCACCCAGGCUGGAGUGCAGCAGUGCGAUCUCAGCUCACUGCACCUUCUCGAGUAGCUGGGACUACAGUGCCACAAAAACAAAUGUUGAAGAAUGAGAGAAACCAUGUGAAAGAGAACAGUCAUUCCAGCCAUCCAAGUCAUCCAAGCCCCUUCAACAACAGCUGACCUUCAAGCACAUAAGAGAGCCCACUUAAGAUCAGCAGACCUGCCUACCCAACCUAGAGCUGAUUACAAACAUAUGAAGCAGCUCAUCCCAGGUCAGAAGAACUUCCUAGCCAAUACAUAGGAUUUUUGUUCUUUGGUGUGUUCAUAUGGUAGAUUAUAUUGGUUCAUUUUCAAAUACUGAGCCAUCCUUGCAUUCUCAGGAUAAAUCCCACUUUGUUGUAUUGCAUUAUUCUUUUUAUAUAUUCUUGGAUUCAAUUUGCUGAUAUUUUGUUGAAGAUUUUUGUAUCAAUGUCACUGGUCUAUCUUCUUUUCUUGUACUAUCUUUGGUUUUUGUAUCAAAGUAAUGUUAGAGUUGUAUCAUGAGUUUGGAAGUAUUCCCUCCUUGUUUAUUUUAUAUAAGAGAUUUUGUAGAAAUGGUGCUUUGGUCUUCAUUAAGUGUUUGGCAGAAUUCACUAGUAAAGCUCUCUGGGU
rnacentral:lncRNA from 10 species